UCCAGACUCCUACGGGAGGCAGCAGUGGGGGAUAUUGCACAAUGGGGGGAACCCUGAUGCAGCGACGCCGCGUGGGUGAAGGAGCGUUUCGGCGCGUAAAGCCCUAUCGGCAGGGAAGAAGGAGGACGGUACCUGACUAAGAAGCCCCGGCUAACUACGUGUCAGCAGCCGCGGUAAUACGUAGGGGGCAAGCGUUAUCCGGAUUUACUGGGUGUAAAGGGGGCGCAGACGGCAGCGCAAGCCAGGAGUGAAAGCCCGGGGCCCAACCCCGGGACUGCUCUUGGAACUGCGCGGCUGGAGUGCAGGAGGGGCAGGCGGAAUUCCUGGUGUAGCGGUGAAAUGCGUAGAUAUCAGGAGGAACACCGGUGGCGAAGGCGGCCUGCUGGACUGCGACUGACGUUGAGGCCCGAAAGCGUGGGGAGCAAACAGGAUUAGAUACCCGAGUA
rnacentral:rRNA from 1 species